UGGCUUAGUGGUAAAAGAAUCUGCCUGCAAUGCAGGAGACCUGGGUUCGAUUCCUGG
rnacentral:tRNA from 1 species